UACGAAGGGGGCUAGCGUUGCUCGGAAUUACUGGGCGUAAAGCGCACGUAGGCGGCUUCUUAAGUCGGUGGUGAAAUCCUGGGGCUCAACUCCAGAACUGCCUUCGAUACUGGGAAGCUCGAGUCCGGGAGAGGUGAGUGGAACUGCGAGUGUAGAGGUGAAAUUCGUAGAUAUUCGCAAGAACACCAGUGGCGAAGGCGGCUCACUGGCCCGGUACUGACGCUGAGGUGCGAAAGCGUGGGGAGCAAACAGG
rnacentral:rRNA from 1 species